rnacentral:rRNA from 1 species
UGAGGGUGAACUUGUACAUGGAUACCCGUGACAAAUUCAGGACUAAUACAUGCACUAUGUUCCCAACUCAAGAGUGGACGUGCUCAAUAGAUCCAAACCACGUCCGGCUUGCCGGUGAGGUGACCCAUAUGCAUCCUUCGGACCGCACGAACUUGUUCGGCGGCGCUUCAUUCAAGUAACUGCCCUAUCACGUUGUCGGUAGUGUCUUGGACUACCGAGCGGAUGACGGGUAACGGGGAAUUAGAGUUCGAUUCCGGAGAAAGAGCAUGAGACACGGCUAUUACAUCCAAGGAAGGCAGCAGGCGCGCAAAUUACCCAAUACGCACUUGCGUGAGGUAGUGACAGUACGUAGCAAUGGGGCGCACGAGCAAUGUGACCUAAUUGAAAUGAGAAAAAACUAAAGCACUGAAUGAGGAACGAUUGGAGGGCAAGUCUGGUGCCAGCAGCCGCGGUAAUUCCAGCUCCACGAGCGUAUAUUAGAGUUGUUGCAGUUAAAACGAACGUAGUUGAAGUUGAGGUGGCGUGGCGGGCAGAACCGGGGCCGCAAGGUGCCGGCCUCACCGCUGUAGACCCCUUAUGCGCUGGCCCCUCGGGGUUGGCGACAUACCUCGAACAAAUGAACGCGCUUGAGGUAGGCGAGAAUGUUGCCGGAAUCAAUUAGCAUGGAAUAGCAAAUGGACCGCGGGUGUCUGUUCGGUGGUACUUAGACGACGCUGUAAUGGUUAAUAGGGGUACUCGGGGCCAACCGUACUCUGGGGAUAGGGGUGAAAUCCUGUGACCCUCAGAAGACGACCGAAUGCGAAAGCAGUUGGCAAGGGUGCUUUCAUUGAUCAGGUUCGAAGGGUGGGGGAGCAAAGGCGAUUAGACACCGUUGUAGUCCCACCAGUAAACGAUGCCGACGCGACUUCGGGUGCGGAGGGAUCCAUGCUCGGGGGCGUAUAGAAAUUAGAGUCUUUGGGCUCUGGGGGGAGUAUGGUCGCAAGUCUGAAACUUAAAGGAAUUGACGGAAGGGCACAACCAGGCGUGGAGCCUGCGGCUUAAUUUGACUCAACACGGGGAACCUCACCAGGUCAGGACAUGAUUAGGAUUGACAGAACAAGAGAUCUUUCAUAAUCUCAUGGGUGGUGGUGCAUGGCCGUUCUUAGUUCGUGGAUUCAUUUGUCUGGUUGAUUCCGAUAACGAGCGAGACCGAGACCGGAAGUUGGCGCUGUUUCCCCUCAUUCACUUCUCAAGGGUUUGAGGGCAGCGGACCAACCCGCUUCCGGGACCGGCGUCCGCAUUAGGACGUGGAGGCGCUUGGCAAUAACAGGUCUGUGAUGCCCUUAGAUGUCCUGGGCCGCACGCGCGCUACACUGAUGCGGCCAAUAGGCAUACCACCGAUCCCGAGAGGGCGGGGUAAUCCAUUGAGACCGCAUCGUGCUGGGAAUUGAGCACUGGAACUGUGCUCAUGAACACGGAAUGCCUUGUAAUCGUGGGUCAUCAACCCACGCUGAAUACGUCCCUGCCCUUUGUACACACCGCCCGUCGCUACUACCGAUCGAAUGGCUUGGUGAGAAGGUAGGAUUGAUGCGGGGGGGCCUUGUGUCCUGCUUGCGGACAGAACACCUUCGAACUCGGCCAUUUAGAGGAAGUACAAGUCGUAACAAGGUUUCCGUAGGUGAACCUGCGGAAGGAUCACAGUUAAAGAGGGUGAAAGCCCAUGACCCAUUGCAAUGCCGUGUUCUGCACGUUAAACAUAGUCGUGUUGGCUUCGGACACACGUUAAAGACGCGAAAAAGCCCUGUUUACGAAUCUAAUGUGAAAGAACUUUACAACCAAUGACGUUGGAUCCCUUGGCAUGCCUGAUCGAUGAAGACCGUUGCCAACUGCGAUAAGUGGUGUGAUGCGCAAGUCUAAAACUUAUAAGUGAACCAUCGAAUUGUUGAACGCACUGCACCGAGCUCUACCCGAGCACGGUAUGUCCCAUUGAGCGCUAUUAAUGUCUUCGAGAGGGCUGAUCUUUGGUUGGCACCCGGGUUCGGAGUCCACAGUGCCCUUGCACUGCGUUCUCUCAGAUGGAUUUGAAUGGUGUCUGGUUGCACUGGAACCUCUAUGUCAUGAGAAUGCAUGGAGUGCCCGCUAAGCGCCUGAUGCCUGGGACAGCACAGAUGAUGGCUGUCCAAGCAUGCUUAAUUGAGAAUGUAGCCUCACUGGGACAAGACAACCCGCUAGACUUAAGCAUAUUAAUCAGCGGAGGAAAAGAAACUAACUAGGAUUCCCUCAGUAACUGCGAGUGAAGCGGGAUGAGCUCAAUGU